rnacentral:rRNA from 1 species
CAUGCAAGUCGAACGAAGCUUGACGGAUGAUUUCUUCGGAAUGAAACCAGAUAUGACUUAGUGGCGGACGGGUGAGUAACACGUGAGCAACCUGCCUUUCAGAGGGGGAUAACGGCUGGAAACGGUCGCUAAUACCGCAUGAUGUGUUCGGAUGGCAUCAUCUGAACAUCAAAGAUUUAUCGCUGAAAGAUGGGCUCGCGUCUGAUUAGAUAGUUGGUGGGGUAACGGCCUACCAAGUCUACGAUCAGUAGCCGGACUGAGAGGUUGAACGGCCACAUUGGGACUGAGAUACGGCCCAGACUCCUACGGGAGGCAGCAGUGGGGAAUAUUGCACAAUGGGGGAAACCCUGAUGCAGCAACGCCGCGUGAAGGAUGACGGUUUUCGGAUUGUAAACUUCUUUUCUUAGUGACGAAGACAGUGACGGUAGCUAAGGAAUAAGCAUCGGCUAACUACGUGCCAGCAGCCGCGGUAAUACGUAGGAUGCAAGCGUUAUCCGGAUUUACUGGGUGUAAAGGGAGCGCAGGCGGGACUGCAAGUUGGAUGUGAAAUACCGUGGCUUAACCACGGAACUGCAUCCAAAACUGUAGUUCUUGAGUGAAGUAGAGGCAAGCGGAAUUCCGAGUGUAGCGGUGAAAUGCGUAGAUAUUCGGAGGAACACCAGUGGCGAAGGCGGCUUGCUGGGCUUUAACUGACGCUGAGGCUCGAAAGUGUGGGGAGCAAACAGGAUUAGAUACCCUGGUAGUCCACACUGUAAACGAUGAUAGCUAGGUGUGGGGGGUCUGACCCCUUCCGUGCCGGAGUUAACGCAAUAAGCUAUCCACCUGGGGAGUACGACCGCA